GAUGAACGGUGGCGGCGUGCCUAAUACAUGCAAGUCGAGCGAACAGACGAGGAGCUUGCUCCUCUGACGUUAGCGGCGGACGGGUGAGUAACACGUGGAUAACCUACCUAUAAGACUGGGAUAACUUCGGGAAACCGGAGCUAAUACCGGAUAAUAUAUUGAACCGCAUGGUUCAAUAGUGAAAUACGGUUUUGCUGUCACUUAUAGAUGGAUCCGUGCCGCAUUAGCUAGUUGGUAAGGUAACGGCUUACCAAGGCAACGAUGCGUAGCCGACCUGAGAGGGUGAUCGGCCACACUGGAACUGAGACACGGUCCAGACUCCUACGGGAGGCAGCAGUAGGGAAUCUUCCGCAAUGGGCGAAAGCUUGACGGAGCAACGCCGCGUGAGUGAUGAAGGUCUUCGGAUCGAAAAACUCUGUUAUUAGGGAAGAACAAAUGUGUAAGUAACUAUGCACGUCUUGACGGUACCUAAUCAGAAAGCCACGGCUAACUACGUG
rnacentral:rRNA from 1 species